AAUCAAAAUACGUAUGCCGAAGCGAGUAUUGAAAUCAUAAUUCCGGUGGAUAUUUAGAAUAAGGGUGCAUCGGAGAUGUGAAACAAUGAAAUGAAAACAGUUAAUACGACGGUCACUGCACUUCCUGGUCCCACGUGACCAUCGAGGCAAUGUCACUUCAUUGUGCGCCGUUUGGAACCUCGCGACGGUGGAGGAAAAUAAUUGUCGCACAAUUCCGAUGGACAGAGAAGAAAGGUGCUCGAGGGUAAAAACGGACAAAACUGAAAGCGGUAAGUACCGUAAAACAGUGAACGAUUCCUUUGCGCCUGGUUGAGCUGGGAACGAGGUUCGCAUGUAAUGUUUGAUUGUGGAAUGAAUUUCGCUUUAUUUCACUUUGUUUUGUGAUUUGCUUCUUUGUAAAGUUGCUUGGUUUUCAUCCACCAGAGGGUGCGAAUGCACCUUGAGAAAUCCUUAGCAAUGCAAGAGCAGAAGGUUUAGUAUUGUUUGCGAUCAUUCUGUAUUUUCUCAAUGGUUCGUGUUAUUUCAUGGGAUGCACAAAGGCAAAGAGCAAGGUUGAAAAGAUGUGCAAAACAUACCGUCGGAGCUAGUAAUCGUAUUUCAUGUUUAGUUUGUCUUGUAGCUCUUAGGGCGUGUUCACACAGUGUCUGCUUAUUCAAAUGUUGCGGACCAUCAGUGAGAGACCCCCCCCCCCCCUUUGAUUCAACCGGAGAUGCGACAGGCACACAUGGGUUUUUAUUUUUUAGAUGACCUGCGGCAGCAUUUGGAUGAUGAGAUGGGGAGACUGGGAUGAAGCGCAACAGCAGAUGCCAGAUCUGAGGUCCAGCGGUACCUGGCAGAGGGGAAUAUUAUUGGAGGAACCAACACACUACUUUUCCAAACCUCUCCCACCUCGCAAAGGAGUUCCUCUGUACGCCGGCAUCAUCAGUACCAUGUGAGCGUGUGUUCUCCACAGUAGGGGAAAUAGCCUGCAAGGAAAGCAACAGACUCAAAUUCCAAACAGUGUAGCAACGUAUUUUUCUGAAUAAAGAUUUUUGAAGA